GAUCCUGGCUCAGGAUGAACGCUGGCGGCGUGCUUAACACAUGCAAGUCGAACGAUUGAAGCUGGAGCUUGCUCCGGCUGAUUUAGUGGCGGACGGGUGAGUAACGCGUGGGUAACCUGCCUCAUACAGGGGGAUAGCAGUUGGAAACGACUGGUAAAACCGCAUAAGCGCACGGUGUCGCAUGACACAGUGUGAAAACACUCCGGUGGUAUGAGAUGGACCCGCGUCUGAUUAG
rnacentral:rRNA from 1 species